AGUGAACGCUGGCGGUAGGCCUAACACAUGCAAGUCGAACGGCAGCACAGUAAGAGCUUGCUCUUACGGGUGGCGAGUGGCGGACGGGUGAGGCAUACAUCGGAAUCUACUUUUUCGUGGGGGAUAACGUAGGGAAACUUACGCUAAUACCGCAUACGACCUACGGGUGAAAGCAGGAGAUCUUCGGACCUUUCGCGAUUGAAUGAGCCGAUGUCGGAUUAGCUAGUUGGCGAGGUAAAGGCUCACCAAGGCAACGAAGCGUAGCUGGUCUGAGAGGAUGAUCGGCCACACUGGAACUGAGACACGGUACAGACUCCUACGGGAGGCAGCAGUAGGGAAUCUUGCGCAAUGGGCGAAAGCCUGACGGAGCAACGCCGCGUGAGUGAUGAAGGUCUUCGGAUCGUAAAACUCUGUUAUUAGGGAAGAACAAAUGUGUAAGUAACUAUGCACGUCUUGACGGUACCGAAGCAGAAAGCCACGGCUAACUACGUG
rnacentral:rRNA from 1 species